rnacentral:misc_RNA from 1 species
UCCGGUUUGUCACCGGCAGUCCCACUAGAGUGCUCAACUGAAUGUAGCAACUAAUGGCAAGGGUUGCGCUCGUUGCGGGACUUAACCCAACAUCUCACGACACGAGCUGACGACAGCCAUGCAGCACCUGUGCACGGGCUCCGAAGAGGGCCUCCCGUUUCUGAGAGGUUUCCAGUGCAUGUCAAGCCUUGGUAAGGUUCUUCGCGUCGCGUCGAAUUAAACCACAUGCUCCGCUGCUUGUGCGGGCCCCCGUCAAUUUCUUUGAGUUUUAACCUUGCGGCCGUACUCCCCAGGCGGAUGACUUAACGCGUUAGCUGCGCCACCGAAACGCUAAGCGCCCCGACAGCUAGUCAUCAUCGUUUACGGCGUGGACUAC